UCCCUGGUGGCUCAGAGGUUAAAGCGUCUGCCUGCAAUGCAGGAGACCCGGUUUCGAUCCCUGGGCUGGGAA
rfam:TPA: Bos taurus chromosome 1, whole genome shotgun sequence.